rnacentral:rRNA from 1 species
AACGCGAAGAACCUUACCUGGUCUUGACAUCCUGGGAACCCUGAAGAGAUUUAGGGGUGCCGCAAGGAGCCCAGAGACAGGUGCUGCAUGGCUGUCGUCAGCUCGUGUCGUGAGAUGUUGGGUUAAGUCCCGCAACGAGCGCAACCCUUGUCCUUAGUUGCCAGCAUUAAGUUGGGCACUCUAAGGAGACCGCCGGUGACAAACCGGAGGAAGGUGGGGAUGACGUCAAGUCAUCAUGGCCUUUAUGACCAGGGCUACACACGUGCUACAAUGGGCGGUACAAAGCGCUGCCAACCCGCGAGGGGGAGCUAAUCGCCAAAAACCGUCCUCAGUUCGGAUUGCAGGCUGCAACUCGCCUGCAUGAAGCUGGAAUCGCUAGUAAUGCUAUAUCAGAACGAUAGCGUGAAUACGUUCCCGGGCCUUGUACACACCGCA